AGUGAACGCUGGCGGUAGGCCUAACACAUGCAAGUCGAACGGCAGCACAGUAAGAGCUUGCUCUUACGGGUGGCGAGUGGCGGACGGGUGAGGAAUACAGCGGAAUCUACUUUUUCGUGGGGGAUCACGUAGGGAAACUUACGCUAAUACCGCAUACGACCUACGGGUGAAAGCAGGGGAUCUUCGGACCUUGCGCGAUUGAAUGAGCCGAUGUCGGAUUAGCUAGUUGGCGGGGUAAAGGCCCACCAAGGCGACGAUCCGUAGCUGGUCUGAGAGGAUGAUCAGCCACACUGGAACUGAGACACGGUCCAGACUCCUACGGGAGGCAGCGGUGGGGAAUAUUGGACAAAGGGCGCAAGCCUGAUCCAGCCAUACCGCGUGGGUGAAGAAGGCCUUCGGGUUGUAAAGCCCUUUUGUUGGGAAAGAAAAGCAGCAGGUUAAUACCCCGCUGUUCUGACGGUACCCAAAGAAUAAGCACCGGCUAACUUCGUG
rnacentral:rRNA from 1 species